GAUGAACGCUGGCGGCGUGCCUAAUACAUGCAAGUCGAGCGAACAGACGAGGAGCUUGCUCCUCUGACGUUAGCGGCGGACGGGUGAGUAACACGUGGAUAACCUACCUAUAAGACUGGGAUAACUUCGGGAAACCGGAGCUAAUACCGGAUAAUAUAUUGAACCGCAUGGUUCAAUAGUGAAAGACGGUUUUGCUGUCACUUAUAGAUGGAUCCGCGCCGCAUUAGCUAGUUGGUAAGGUAACGGCUUACCAAGGCAACGAUGCGUAGCCGACCUGAGAGGGUGAUCGGCCACACGAGAACGGAGACACGGUCCAGACUCCUACGGGAGGCAGCAGUAGGGAAUCUUCCGCAAUGGGCGAAAGCCUGACGGAGCAACGCCGCGUGAGUGAUGAAGGUCUUCGGAUCGUAAAACUCUGUUAUUAGGGAAGAACAAAUGUGUAAGUAACUAUGCACGUCUUGACGGUACCUAAUCAGAAAGCCACGGCUAACUACGUG
rnacentral:rRNA from 1 species